rnacentral:tRNA from 1 species
AUUUAUAUAGUUUAAUUAAAACAUUUUAUUUUCAAUAAAAAAAUAAUAUACUUUAUAUUUAUAAAUU